rnacentral:RNase_P_RNA from 1 species
CGGGGCGGAGGGUUCGUCGCUUGUCUUUCCUGUAAAGGACAAGAGGAAAGUCCGGGCAACGCAGAGCACCAUACUCCCUUCGGGGAGCCGGCGGAAACGUCGGAGCAAGAGUGACAGAAAACAACCGCCCGCAUCUCCCGACGGGAGACGCAGGCAAGGGUGAAAAGGUGGGGUAAGAGCCCACCGGGCGCGAUGGCGACAUUGCGUGCCGCACUUCUUAUGGGUUGCAAGGUCAAGUACACCGGCAUUCAAGGGCUGCUCGUCCAUUGCCGGGGGGUAGACUGCUCAGAUAAAUGACGGACGGUAAGGCGUACGUCGGUUACGGCCGAAACAGCGCCCCCACAUAACCCGGCUUAUACUCCGCCCCCGGAA